GAUGAACGCUGGCGGCGUGCCUAAUACAUGCAAGUCGAGCGAACGGACGAGAAGCUUGCUUCUCUGAUGUUAGCGGCGGACGGGUGAGUAACACGUGGAUAACCUACCUAUAAGACUGGGAUAACUUCGGGAAACCGUAGCUAAUACCGGAUAAUAUUUUGAACCGCAUGGUUCAAAAGUGAAAGACGGUCUUGCUGUCACUUAUAGAUGGAUCCGCGCUGCAUUAGCUAGUUGGUAAGGUAACGGCUUACCAAGGCAACGAUGCAUAGCCGACCUGAGAGGGUGAUCGGCCACACUGGAACUGAGACACGGUCCAGACUCCUACGGGAGGCAGCAGUAGGGAAUCUUCCGCAAAGGGCGAAAGCCUGACGGAGCAACGCCGCGUGAGUGAUGAAGGUCUUCGGAUCGUAAAACUCUGUUAUUAGGGAAGAACAUAUGCGUAAGUAACUGUGCACAUCUUGACGGUACCUAAUCAGAAAGCCACGGCUAACUACGUG
rnacentral:rRNA from 1 species